rnacentral:misc_RNA from 1 species
UUUUAAAUGUAAUUUUGGUAUCAGCUAAGGAGGGACUUACCAGUACACUUGAUCUCGUGCCGUAUAAGUGGCCGAGAGAGGAGCCCGUCAUUGAAGAGCUCCAUGAUUAAGUCGACCUACACAGAUAAUGAGCUGGCAGUAGCUGCAGCUGCCAUUGCUAGAGCACAGAUGCAGCAUGUUCUUGACAGGAUGAUCACAGAGGAGACCUUGGAUGUUGAUGGAGCUGAGGUCAUAUAUGAAGUGGAACCGGAGGAUUCAGAAGAGUUGCAGCUUCAGGACCUGGAACCUGCACCUGCAAAGCUUGAUGACGUGCUUACAGGAGUACAGGAUCCUCUAGAAGAAGUCAACCUUGGUACACCUGAGGAACCGAGGAUCACCUAUGUGAGCUCUCUGUUAAGAAAAGAUUUGAAAAAG